rnacentral:rRNA from 1 species
GAUGAACGCUAGCGAUAGGCUUAACACAUGCAAGUCGAAGGACCGGCGCACGGGUGCGUAACGCGUAUGCAACUUGCCUCACAGAGGGGGAUAACCCGUCGAAAGACGGACUAAUACCGCGUACUGUGAGAUAGGCAUGCGUCCCAUUAGGUAGUUGGUGAGGUAACGGCUCACCAAGGCAACGAUGGGUAGGGGAACUGAGAGGUUGAACCCCCACACUGGAACUGAGCCACGGACCAGACUCCGACGGAGGGCGGGAGUGGGGAAUAUUAGUGAAGGGGGGAGAGCCUGAACCAGCCAAGUCGCGUGAAGGAUGACUGUCUAUGAAUUGUAAACUUCUUUUGUAGGGGAAUAUGUACCCUACGAAUAAGCAUCGGCUAACUCCGUGCCAGCAGCCGCGGUAAUAC